ensembl:lncRNA
AAUGCCCCGUUCUGGGGAGAAGAGGCAGGGGCUGCUCGGUUCCACACGCCCCCCCCUUCCUGGUAUGCUUCUCAUGAUGAGGAGAGUGACUGCUUCAGAAGAAAAAAAAAAUACAUCAAACGUUUCAUCAUUGUUUUUCAAAACAAGGUACAAAGAUGAAGGCAGAAAGCAUAUGUCAUUUGAAAGAUCUGUCUCCUCUUCUUGGAAUUCGUUAUUCUCUGCAAACAAAACAAGCUUGCAAUUGGAAAUACAGCAGUGCUCCAGUUCAAGCACUGCUUAGAAAGUGCUUGUUAUUUGUUUCUGCUGGUAGCUACAAAACUGUGGUGUACACAGUAGCCCCUUUCCAGGAGAAAACUCUCUCUUUUGCUAACACACGCAAGAGCUAAUUCUGUUUUAACAUCUGAGAUAUCAGUAAUACUUUCCUACAUUAAAAACAAUGCCAUAAAAUUAUUUCACCAAGCAGUUGCAAAAGGUUGUUUUUUUUUUUUACCCAUUAGUUUCAAGAGAACCGUGUAGCAUCUGUUUACUGCUAUGAAACAGUUCUAACAAUAACUAACACAGUGUGUUUCACAGCAGCCUGCAGACGUCCUUCUCACAGAGCAGGCCUUCCUGCAAGGCUUCAGUGCAGCCCUUCAUGUCUGGGAGGGUCAGUCCCAGGGUAGCAGCACUUUUAAGACGUUUGGCAGCAGUCUGCUUUGCUCCAGCAGUGAGCCGCCAACCACUGCGCGCUGCAAGCCCUCAGGGCUCCACCUAGAUUCCGGCUUCUCACUUUGCAAAAGAUCCGUUAGGAUUGAGCAACGGAGUCCCCCAGGCUUCCAGUAGGGUUUAGGCUCCUGAGGAUGUUUGCAGUCUACAAUGCCAGCAUUCAAAGUUAGACUUGCUCUUGAAGCAAUUCAAACCCAAAUCCUCUGAUGCAUGCAAGAUUUACUCCCUAUCUCACCGAUCUCAGCAGCAGUCCCAGCCUGCAGAUGUUGCAGACUGUGAGUCUUUCUGUGAAGGGAUUUCAGCCAGCCCUCUGCAACCUGCAUUUGGGGACACUGUGCAGGAGCAGGGCUGAGCCCACCCCACGCACACCGCAUGGAGGUGAGACCACUGCGGCACUGCAGACGGUGGGUGUUGGAUUGCAUGCACACCAGCAGCUCCUUUUGCAAAUUGGAGGAUGCAAAGCGUGCAUGGAAAUGUACACAGUGUCCUUUCCUCAGCUGCAGACCUGUUUCUCUGGAAGACUUCUACAGCACCGUCUGCAAAGCCAACUUCAUGAGCAUAGGCCUGUGUGCAAUUUGACUGAAUAUCUCUGAAAGUUUGACCUGGAUGUGUUACUAUUUGUUCCUAGUUCAGAAAAGUACUUGGUUAGUAUGUCUACAUGUAAGUUACUUCUAAAUCCGGUCUUGAAAUGCAGCUUGCUUGUGCCAGGGCCUUGAUGCUACCCAUAAUCAUUGACAUUCACUCUGUAUUACUUAUAGAUAGCUAAUAUGUUCCUAGUCUUCUGACUUGUAUUUUUUCAGUAAGUUGUGAAUGUGCAUAUUUAGCCCUAGAAUCAAAGAGGGCAGAUGCCACAUUUAAAAAAAACCCUAAUUAUAAUUUUCUGUAAAUACACAAUCCAUGCUUAUUUGUAUACUAAGGCAGUGGAGGAGAAAGGUGGGCUAUAUUCACUUUCCGCAGUAAUUUUCUAUUCUGAGUAACUUAAUAUUUACUCAAACGUACUUCAAUUUAUCAUUCUUCUGUCUAGAGAAAAGUGUGUCAUCUAUAGCUAGUAAAAGUUCCUCCAGUAAUAAACCAUGUCUCUAAAAGGCAUGUGGAUUUUUUUUUAGCAAUUUUCACCUAAGGAUUCAGGAUUUAUUAUGCUUUCAUUUUCACCUAAGGAUUCAGGAUUUGUUAUGCUUUCCAUGUACUUUCUUUCAAAACAACUUGUCAUACUUUUUAUAGAAAAGUGAGCAUUUCAUUUUGCUUGUGAGGUGAGUAUAUAUUUCUGCAGAGAGUUCAAAGAAUUGUGCUAUUCCAAUACCGUGAUGUGGUUAUAUAUACAUUUGAGUUAGCUUAUCACACACCAUUAGCAAGACUGCCACACAGAAAAGACAGAACAACUUCAAAAUAAGUCUUUGGAGUGAGAUAUAGAAUUGCAGCUUUGAGUCUAUCAUAAUUUUCUACCUUAUUCAUAUUUGAAAGAAAAUGAGGCAUAAUAAUCAACAGCUUACUCAGUUUACUGCAAUGUUUUAUGUAACAUAUGGUGAGACUGCGUACCGAACUCUAUAUUAAAAUAGCAUUUAUAAGAACUGUUAUCCUGCCAAAAUGAAAGGAAAACAGCCUCCCGGUUUCAUGUUAUUGAAAUCAAUAUCAAUAACGUCUCUACUUUCCAACUUCUGAAUCAUAUAAAGUAU